UUGGGAGCUCACUGACUUCGGAGUCGUAGGAACUCCGAAGUUAAGCGAGUUGGGGGCUAGAGGAAUCCCAGGAUGGGUGACCCAUUGGGAAGUUACUCGUGAGUUCCCAGA
rnacentral:rRNA from 1 species